UGCACCUCUCUUGGACCUCAUUUAAGGGCUGACUGCCACAGGGGAAGAGUUUCUGGAGAUCUCUUCUUAGUGAAGUUUUCCCUCACAAACUUAGACUCCUCUGAUACAGAGCCUGAUGUGUUCUCAUGAAAACGAGAAUAUUCAUUUCUCAAGUACCCUGCCUGGGACUUAAAGAAUGCUUUGAAAUCAGUGAUGUUACUUCAACAGAAGACCUUGCACAUCUGUUUCUGGGUCUCUCUUUGGAAGCACUGGAAAGGAAAAGCUUGAAAGAAAGCACUCUUUCACAGGCCCUCGUUCCAUCGUGCUGUGCUGUUUGCACACAGACUGCUGGUGGCUGCGCAACACAGGAGUGUGGGCCUGGGAAAGGAUCAGGAGUGCUGAGUGUGCAGUCUGCACCCAGCAUCACACCACAGCUUCCCCCAGACGGCACACUGCUGCGCGUGGAGCAGAAAUCUGCCUCUGUUUCCUAUUUUAUAGAAACUGAAAUGACCGCAGUGGAUCUGUCCCUAGCUGCUAUCCAGCAGGCCCUGCUUUAAUUUUAGAAUAUGUUUGGGACUUUCCCUUCUGAGGGUCUUCAGACCUGAUUUUCUGGGUGAGUAUUAGUAAUAAUGGUCCAAAAAAAGCCAAAAAGAAAUAUAUGAAACAUUCUAUUAAGUUUGAAAUGAAAUUCUGAAUAAGAUGUGUGUGUUCUUCACAGAAUAUUUACUUUGUAAUACAACCAUUGAUAAUAAAAAAAAAAAACUGCAGUAGUUUUCAGUAUACUUAGAUUGUCUGUUUUCUUCCUUUAUUUUCCUAAUUUUUGCAAUAUUUUUCCUAGUUUCAAAGGAAAGGGUUGAAACUGUAGAGCUCUGGGAGUUGUCCCAUUUGCCACAUGUUGUGUAUGUGUGCAUUUUAUAUAUAUAUAUAUAUAUAUAUAUAAUAUAGACAUUGGGGCUUAGCCUAGGUAGUGACAAGAAUGCAUCCAGUGCUGGUAGACUUGAGAAACAAUAAAAUAAUGUCCUACUCCAUAAAUCCACCACUCCAGACUUCGAAUCACCCGUCUUGGCCAGAAAUCACUGUGGGAAAAGAAGAGGGAGAUGGGGGAGGAUGGAAGAUGAUAUUCAUCCAUCUGUGCUCUCCUUUAGCAUACUCGACCUUCCCACAGCUUUGGAGUGUGCUCUGAGAGGCCAAAAGUCUUCUGGCCUGAAUUCUCCUCCUCUUAAUUUUAACCUGCCAAAUAAUCUAAACUAGAAAUAUGCUUGCCUUAGGCUUUCUAUGGAGUCAAUGGAGAGAGAAAAGCAUCUCCAGAAGAUGACUCCGAUAUUCCACAGGCUCUGGUACUUGGCAAGGCCAGAUGUGCUCCUCCCAGCUGGACAGCAGCAGGGAGCCAGGGAAGCCCCAGAAGCCCCAGCUGUGAGUGACAGCACAUCAGGGAGCUCCUAGACAGGUGCGAGGGGCUCUCCUGCAUGCAUUGCAGUCACGAUCACAGGCUACACAGAAACACACCAAAAGGAAAGCAUCUAUAGCGGAAAGAAGCACUCCUAUCAGCCCUUGUACAAGAGAGCCAUUUUCUCUCUGCCUUUACCUUUGCCUCAAAGAGUGACUUGGAACUAAGUGCUGCUGCUCAUGUGUAAACAGAAAUGGGAAACAUGCAUCCUCAACUGAAAGUGAAAUGUGCUCUUCAUUGUAUUUUCUAAUUUCUUCCUCUAAGCAAGGAAGCAUUUCUUAUUUUUAUCCCACUUGAUCCUGACUGCAGCAUUCAGCUGCUGUGUUGCUAUCAACAGCACAGUCCUGAGGCCCCAAUUUCACUCAUUUGACACACACAAGGGCUAUGCUUCAGGCCAGCACAAAUUAGUCCCAACAAAAGCAGUUAUGCACUACCAUUCUUUUCUCAUCCCCCUCUGUGCUAUCCCUUCCCUCAGGCAAUGUUGGGUGUUUACCCACUCUGUGUUUAACUGCACCUCACGAAGGGCCAAUCAGUUCUUAUUUCCUACUCUUGCUUUAGCCUGAAUGCAUUCCCCUGUGCGGUUCACUGCUCAGCAUACAGAUCUAUAGCUAGCACAGCCUAUAACUAGUGUAAUUUAUGAAAUGCUGAUAUUCUGUUGAGCUAGAGCCAUCUACACUAAAAUUUAUAGAUUUUAUUCUAAUGUAGUUUUGCAUCUUGCUAGAAAACAUCUUGGAGACAGUUGGAUCAAGUAUCAUAGAACCACAGAAUGACUUGGGUUGGAAGGGACCUAAAAGCCCACCCAGUUCCACCCCCCUGCCUUGGGCAGGGCUGCCACCCACCAGCUUAGGCUGCCCAGCGCCCCAUCCAACCUGGCCUUGAAUGCCUCCAGGGAUGGGGCAUCCACAGCCUCUCUGGGCAGCCUGUGCCUCAGUGCCUCACGGCCCUCUGACUAGAGAAUUUCCACCUAAUAUUUAACCUAAAUUUCCUCUCUUUUAGUUUGAAGCCAUUCCCCUUUGUCCUAUCGCUAUCAGGUCGUAUAGAAAGUUGGUCUCCCAGAAAAACACCAUUUUAUCCUCUAUGCAGUAACAACAUUCCUGAUGAGAAUUUAACAGCAUCUGACUUUGCUGAAAUACUGUUAUAAACUAAAUCAGCUCAGUUUCGUUAAAUCCUUAUUAGGACAUUAAACCACCCAGCGUUUAACUCACACUCUGAUUCUGAACUGAAACUCUCACAGAAAAGAUUUCCUAAUGACGUGUUACCAUUUACUUCAAAAUGGCAGAAUGUCUAUACUACUUCAGUUUUUUGUAAGCUCAUCAUUAGCAUCUAGAUGUGAGUGCAACUAUCACUGUGUUUUGUAGAGGCAGAUUUCAAAACUUUUACACGUAGGAGUUAAAACUUUAAGUAAGAAUUGGUCAUUUAAGUUCUGCAAUGACCGACUGAUCUAGAUAGCAUUACUGCCACUGAUCCUAUUAUGGAUUUUAAGAUGUGAAUGCCAUGCCGAUCAGAAUUAUGCAACUUAACCCUUGUAAUACAUCCUCUAUAUAUAAUUCUUCUGCCACAGAUUUGUGGUCCACUACGUGGCACAAGCACUGCUGACCAUCUGUUCCAUUAGAGAUGUCACAGACACAAGUGCAACCGUUUCAAGGAACGGUAAAUAAGCACCCUGGACAGAACGUACACUGGUCCUUUGUUCAGCAGUAGCAUAAGAGACAUACUUCAGAUCUGCUUAGUAAACGUAUUUUCCAAUACAGACUGGACUGCUGCCUCAUCGUAAGUACUCCUGUUAACCACACAUUUUUAAGGAUAAGAGCUGAUGAACUUGACAUUUCUCAUUUAAAAGUGUCUCUAGAACCAGGGCCAGAGAAUAUUUGCAGGUCCAAGGCCCACAGCUGUCAAAAUGUCAAAGCAGAGCAAUGGCUUUGAGGUAUAAAUUAGUUCUUGUAAGGUGCAACUAAAGAUCUUUUCUUGAGCAUAUAGGGCUCAAUUUCCAUUCAUAACUUCUAAACAGUCAAGUCUGUAACGACCAACUGCAGUCACAGAAUGUAUGUCUACCUGUUUGACUUUGUGUGACUCUUGAAGGAAGAAAAGUCUCAGAGCAUGUGGCACUUACGACAUGAAGUGGCAGUUUGUCUGAGGUUUCUGGAUUGUGUCACCUGUGCCUGGUCUGCUUCUGCCCUGUUUGCAUGGGCGGGGCUCAGACAUACUUUUCAAAUGAGCCACUGACAAUGAAACACCUGAUUUUCUGCUUCAAAACACAAAACGAGUAGGCUCUGAAACCGACUGCUGCCCAGCAAAACGCCACUCCACAUCGGUGUUCUUUUAUCUUCCCAAUUUCAGCAGAGACAAAGAGGAUUUCUGAUUCAAGACAUAAAGCAACAGGUUUUCUGUCUUCUUUGUGACAUUCAGAUAGAGACAGAAACUGCUUUUAAGACCUCUACUAUGUGUACAGAGCCAUGAGAUCGUGUGCAGAAGCUGAAGACCUACAAGAGGUAAAGAAGCAGUGAGCUCUUCUCUACUUACCUCCUCCAUGCAGAUCCCCGAAAGUCAUGCGGUUAAUAUCACAUUUUCAGUUCAUAAAUGAAUACAUACUCUACUCUUAAUGUAGACAUUCUUAAAAGCUUUCAUUAUUUGUGCUAGAUUACAAACGAGUUCCUUUUAUUGAAUCGUCAUGGUGACAAGUGUUAUUACAAUAAAUAUAUUUAAGGAAUUUUAAAAAAUGCAGCAGAUUUCUCCAUCUUUUUGUUAUCAUCAUGUCUCUUUUUUCAGAGGUGUCUGAAUAGAGCUGUAUGACAAACAGAGUUGAUUCCCGAGCGCUCCUGUACAGGCCAUUAUCUGCCCAUCACAAGGCAGAAAGUACUCGAAAAGAAUUCUUGCUGCUAGGUAGAGUAACAUGAUGUCCCCACAGCUGAGUUUCAAAACACAUUUUUAGGGGGCAGGAGAGAAGUUCCUAUAUUCAAAUCACACAUUUGAAUCACUGAGAAUUGUAAUAUCGUGCAAAACUAGGUUUCUGGUAUAUUUUUAGUAUUCAGAUGAGAUUGUGCCAUGAAUAACCGAUCCAUUUUUGACUGUACCAUUUUAGGAAAAAAAAUGUUUUUACUAAACAAUUAGCAAAUUUCCUCCAAAAGCUGCCCUGAUAAGGAAGAGAGCAUCACAUGGCACGUUUGGGAUGCGUGCAAACACGUGCCACGUGGGCCACUGAGCAGAGCGGCGUGACAGCAGCUUGCUAUGAUUGCUCCAUCACGCUGAUGGCAGAGCCCCUUUGGAGUUUGGAACAGGAACGUUACAGUGAACAGAAACCACCCAUGCUUUCUUUUGCCUGGAAGACAAGAUUAUAUAGACAUACAUAUGCAUGAAAUGAGUUCUAUUUAAAAUGCUUUAAUUUCUAUGAACCUCCCCUCCAAAAAGAAUUCCCCUCCAAAAAGAAUUCCCCCCCCAAAAAAACCUGACGGGAACUUUCUCUUCACUUCAGCUUUUUCUCGUCCGGAAAAGUCUCUAGACAUCAUUCCAACGAACCGCCCCUCCGGCCCCGGCAGGGCUGCGCUCCCCGCCCCGCU
rnacentral:lncRNA from 1 species